UAGGGAAUCUUCGGCAAUGGGGGCAACCCUGACCGAGCAACGCCGCGUGAGUGAAGAAGGCUUUCGGAUCGUAAAGCUCUGUUGUAAGUCAAGAACGAGUGUGAGAGUGGAAAGUUCACACUGUGACGGUAGCUUACCAGAAAGGGACGGCUAACUACGUGCCAGCAGCCGCGGUAAUACGUAGGUCCCGAGCGUUGUCCGGAUUUAUUGGGCGUAAAGCGAGCGCAGGCGGUUUGAUAAGUCUGAAGUUAAAGGCUGUGGCUCAACCAUAGUUCGCUUUGGAAACUGUCAAACUUGAGUGCAGAAGGGGAGAGUGGAAUUCCAUGUGUAGCGGUGAAAUGCGUAGAUAUAUGGAGGAACACCGGUGGCGAAAGCGGCUCUCUGGUCUGUAACUGACGCUGAGGCUUGAAAGCGUGGGGAGCAAACAGGAUUAGAUACCCUGGUAGUCCACGCCGUAAACGAUGAGUGCUAGGUGUUGGGUCCUUUCCGGGACUCAGUGCCGCAGCUAACGCAUUAAGCACUCCGCCUGGGGAGUACGACCGCAAGGUUG
rnacentral:rRNA from 1 species